UCCCCGAUUUCCGGGGCAGUCUCCCUAGAGUUCCCGGCUUUACCCGAUGGCAACUGUUGAUAAGGGUUGCGCUCGUUGCGGGACUUAACCCAACAUCUCACGACACGAGCUGACGACAGCCAUGCACCACCUGUGAUCCUGCCCCGAAGGGAAGCCGUGUUUCCACGGCGGUCAGGAACAUGUCAAGCCCAGGUAAGGUUCUUCGCGUUGCGUCGAAUUAAACCACAUGCUCCGCUGCUUGUGCGGGUCCCCGUCAAUUCCUUUGAGUUUUAGCCUUGCGGCCGUACUCCCCAGGCGGGGCACCUAAUGCGUUAGCUGCGGCACCCAGGGGGUCAAUACCCCGGACACCUAGUGCCCAUCGUUUACAGCGUGGACUAC
rnacentral:misc_RNA from 1 species